rnacentral:rRNA from 1 species
AUUGAACGCUGGCGGAAUGCUUUACACAUGCAAGUCGAGCGGCAGCGCGGCCUUCGGGCUGGCGGCGAGCGGCGAACGGGUGAGUAACGCAUCGGAACAUGCCCAGUCGUGGGGGAUAACACUUCUAAAGAAGUGCUGAUAUCACAUCCGUCCUGAGGGUGAAAGCGGUGGAUCGCAAGACCUCGCGCGAUUGGAGUGGCCGAUGUCAGAUUAGCUAGUUGGUGGGGUAAAGGCCUACCAAGGCGACGAUCUGUAGCUGGUCUGAGAGGAUGAUCAGCCACACUGGAACUGAGACACGGCCCAGACUCCUACGGGAGGCAGCAGUGGGGAAUUUUGGGCAAUGGGGGCAAGCCUGAUCCAGCAAUUCCGCGUGAGUGAAGAAGGCCUUCGGGUUGUAAAGCUCUUUCGGCAGGAACGAAACGGUGGGCUCUAACAUAGUCCGCUAAUGACGGUACCUGAAGAAGAAGCACCGGCUAACUACGUG